rnacentral:rRNA from 1 species
UACGUAGGGUGCAAGCGUUAAUCGGAAUUACUGGGCGUAAAGCGUGCGCAGGCGGUUAUGCAAGACAGAUGUGAAAUCCCCGGGCUCAACCUGGGAAUUGCGUUGGAGACUGCAAGGCUGGAGUCUGGCAGAGGGGGGGUAGAAUUCCACGUGUAGCAGUGAAAUGCGUAGAGAUGUGGAGGAACACCGAUGGCGAAGGCAGCCCCCCUGGGUCAAGACUGACGCUCAUGCAUGAAAGCGUGGGGAGCAAACAGG